rnacentral:snRNA from 1 species
CAUUAGCAUGGCCCCUGCGAAAGGAUGACACGCAAAUCCGUGAAGCGCUCCAUCUUUUU